UACGUAGGGUGCAAGCGUUGUCCGGAAUUAUUGGGCGUAAAGGGCGCGUAGGCGGCCUGCUAAGUCGGACGUGAAAUCCCUCGGCUCAACCGGGGAACUGCGUCCGAUACUGGUGGGCUCGAAUCCGGGAGAGGGAUGUGGAAUUCCAGGUGCAGCGGUGAAAUGCGUAGAUAUCUGGAGGAACACCGGUGGCGAAGGCGGCAUCCUGGACCGGUAUUGACGCUGAUGCGCGAAAGCCAGGGGAGCAAACGGG
rnacentral:rRNA from 1 species